ensembl:lncRNA
GUCUGAGAGGUUGUUCUGUCUAGAGUCCAGAGCCUGAGAGGUUGUUCUGUCUAGAGUCCAGAGCCUGAGAGGUUGUUCUGUCUAGAGUCCAGAGCCUGAGAGGGUGUUCUGUCUAGAGUCCAGAGCCUGAGAGGGUGUUCUGCCUAGGGUCUGAGAGGUUGUUCUGUCUAGAGUCCAGAGCCUGAGAGGUUGUUCUGUCUAGGGUCUGAGGGGUUGUUCUGUCUAGAACCUGACAGGUUAUUCUGUCUAGGGUCUGAGAGGUUGUUCUGUCUAGAGUCCAGAGCCUGAGAGGUUGUUCUGUCUAGAGUCCAGAGCCUGAGAGGGUGUUCUGUCUAGGGUCUGAGAGGUUGUUCUGUCUAGGUUCUGAGAGGUUGUUCUGUCCAGAACCUGAGAGGUUGUUCUGUCUAGGUUCUGAGAGGUUGUUCUGUCUAGGGUCUGAGAGGUUGUUCUGUCUAGAGUCCAGAGCCUGAGAGGUUGUUCUGUCUAGAGUCUGAGAGGUUGUUCUGUC